rnacentral:lncRNA from 1 species
GGUGAUGGUUUGUCAAUUUGCUUGCCGUUACUAGUCUUAUUCUUUUCCGGCGGUAUUGUGGGAUGAAGCGGCCCGGACCGACCUUACACGUACGCUUACGUGAGACUGGUUCCACCGACAGACAUGCACAUCGUGCAUAAAGGUGGCUAGCGGGUGUCUGUCUCUCCUACUCUAGUCGGAUUGGAUUUGAUGAAAAGGGUCCUUAUGAAGGGUAAAUAGCUUUGGCAUAUCAU